GACGAACGCUGGCGGCGUGCUUAACACAUGCAAGUCGAACGGAAAGGCCCUGCUUUUGUGGGGUGCUCGAGUGGCGAACGGGUGAGUAACACGUGAGUAACCUGCCCUUGACUUUGGGAUAACUUCAGGAAACUGGGGCUAAUACCGGAUAGGAGCUCCUGCUGCAUGGUGGGGGUUGGAAAGUUUCGGCGGUUGGGGAUGGACUCGCGGCUUAUCAGCUUGUUGGUGGGGUAGUGGCUUACCAAGGCUUUGACGGGUAGCCGGCCUGAGAGGGUGACCGGCCACAUUGGGACUGGGAUACGGCCCAGACUCCUACGGGAGGGAACGGUGGGGAAUAUUGCACAAUGGGCGGGAGCCUGGUGCAGCAACGCCGCGUGCGGGGAGACGGCCUUCGGGUUGUAAACCGCUUUCGCCUGUGACGGAGCGUGAAUGACGGUAAAGGGUAAAGAAGCACCGGCUAACUACGUG
rnacentral:rRNA from 1 species